GACACAGUGGCUUAGUGGUUAGCAUGUUAGCCUCGUAUCUAAAGGGCUGGAGGUUCAAUUCCUGCCUCUGCCC